rnacentral:rRNA from 1 species
ACGUAGGCGUUGCAUGGCUGUCGUCAGCUCGUGUCGUGAGAUGUUCGGUUAAGUCCGCUAACGAGCGCAACCCUCGCUGUGUGUUACAAGUGUCACACGGAACUGCCGGUCAUAAACCGGAGGAAGGUGGGGAUGACGUCAAGUCAGCAUGGCCUUUAUAUCCUGGGCUACACACACGCUACAAUGGGAAGGGACAAUAGGUUGCGAAGCCGCGAGGCGGAGCCAAUCCAGCAAAACUUCCCUCAGUUCAGAUUGCAGGCUGCAACCCGCCUGCAUGAAGUUGGAGUUGCUAGUAAACGCAGGUCAGCCAUACUGCGUUGAAUACGUUCCCGGGGCUU